rnacentral:lncRNA from 1 species
AUCUCCGUUAACUGGAUAUCAAAUUCAAUCUAAAAUUAGUAAUUUGAGGAAACAAUUUAGACGAGAAAAACUUCAAGUUGGUUCAUCGGGAGGAGCUCCUAGUAAAUGGUGGCCUUACGAUAUUGUUGCCAAAAUAAUAGGUGGUGAAGCUUCCCUUGACAAUGACCUUUUAUCUCAAAGUCAAAACUUUUCUACUCAAGAUUUUCAAGAUGGUCAGAUUGCCACAAUGGAAGAUGGCAAGGUAUUUUAAAUAUUGAAGCUUUGGAUGAUACAAGUGAUGUGCAAUCAAUUGUCACUAUUCCUGAUGAGGAACCAACUCAAUCUACAUCCGGCUGCAAUAAACGGAGGAACUCUGAUGAUGAAAAAACUUUGAAUAAAAUAGCAA